ACGGGAGGCAGCAGUGAGGAAUAUUGGUCAAUGGAGGCAACUCUGAACCAGCCAUCUCGCGUGAAGGAAUACGGCCCUACGGGUCUUAAACUUCUUUUAUAGGGGGAUAAAGUGAGAUAUGUAUAUCUUUUUGUAGGUACCCUAUGAAUAAGCAUCGGCUAACUCCGUGCCAGCAGCCGCGGUAAUACGGAGGAUGCGAGCGUUAUCCGGAUUUAUUGGGUUUAAAGGGUGCGCAGGCGGCCCGUUAAGUCAGCGGUGAAAUGUCGGGGCUCAACCCGGGCACUGCCGUUGAAACUGGGGGGCUUGAGUACGGAUGAGGUCGGCGGAAUGUGACGUGUAGCGGUGAAAUGCAUAGAUAUGUCACAGAACACCGAUUGCGAAGGCAGCCGGCCAAUCCGCAACUGACGCUCAUGCACGAAAGCGUGGGGAUCGAACAGGAUUAGAUACCCUGGUA
rnacentral:rRNA from 1 species